UACGUAGGCAGCAAGCGUUGUUCGGAGUUACUGGGCGUAAAGGGUGCGUAGGCGGCCUUAUAAGUAUGGUGUGAAAUCUCCCGGCUUAACUGGGAGGGUGCGCUAUAGACUGUGGGGCUAGAGUGUGGGAGAGGAAAGUGGAAUUCCUGGUGUAGCGGUGAAAUGCGUAGAUAUCAGGAGGAACACCGGUGGUGUAAAACGGCUUUCCUGGACCAUAACUGACGCUGAGGCACGAAAGCGUGGGUAGCAAACAGG
rnacentral:rRNA from 1 species